GCAUUAAUGGGGUAGUGGUAACCUGGGUCGUUGCCAAACAAUGAAUUGAAUCAUUCAAUUCGACCCGCCGGGGGUUCGAUUCCCUCUUAAUGCA